rnacentral:rRNA from 1 species
CUACGGGAGGCAGCAGUGGGGAAUUUUCCGCAAUGGGCGAAAGCCUGACGGAGCAAUACCGCGUGAGGGAAGACGGCCUAUGGGUUGUAAACCUCUUUUUUCAGGGAGGAAUUUUGACGUGUACCUGAAGAAUAAGCAUCGGCUAACUCCGUGCCAGCAGCCGCGGUAAGACGGAGGAUGCAAGUGUUAUCCGGAAUCACUGGGCGUAAAGCGUCUGUAGGUGGUUAAGCAAGUCAACUGUUAAAUCUUGAGGCUCAACUUCAAAAUCGCAGUCGAAACUGUUUGACUAGAGUAUAGUAGGGGUAAAGGGAAUUUCCAGUGGAGCGGUGAAAUGCGUAGAUAUUGGAAAGAACACCGAUGGCGAAGGCACUUUACUGGGCUAUUACUGACACUCAGAGACGAAAGCUAGGGUAGCAAAUGGGAUUAGAUACCCCAGUAGUCCUAGCCGUAAACAAUGGAUACUAGAUGUUGAACAGAUCGACCUGUGCAGUAUCAAAGCUAACGCGUUAAGUAUCCCGCCUGGGAAGUAUGCUCGCAAGGGUGAAACUCAAAU